rnacentral:SRP_RNA from 1 species
GCCAGGUGUGGUGGCGCACACCUGUAAUCCCAGCUACUUGGGAGGCUGAGGCAGGAGAAUCGCUUGAACCCAGGAGGCAGAGAUUGCAGUGAGCCAAGAUCACGCCACUGCACUCCAGCCUGGCAUCAGAGCGAGAUUCUGUCUCAA